rnacentral:rRNA from 1 species
AGCGAACGCUGGCGGCAGGCCUAACACAUGCAAGUCGAACGAAGUCUUCGGACUUAGUGGCGGACGGGUGAGUAACACGUGGGAACGUACCUUUUGGUUCGGAACAACUCAGGGAAACUUGAGCUAAUACCGAAUGUGCCCUUAGGGGGAAAGAUUUAUCGCCAUUAGAGCGGCCCGCGUUAGAUUAGCCAGUUGGUGAGGUAAAGGCUCACCAAGGCUACGAUCUAUAGCUGGUCUGAGAGGAUGAUCAGCCACACUGGGACCGAGACACGGCCCAGACUCCUACGGGAGGCAGCAGUGGGGAAUCUUGCGCGAUGGGCGAAAGCCUGACGCAGCCAUGCCGCGUGAAUGAUGAAGGUCUUAGGAUUGUAAAAUUCUUUUACCAGGGACGAUAAUGACGGUACCUGGAGAAAAAGCCCCGGCUAACUUCGUGCCAGCAGCCGCCGUAAAAC